rnacentral:tRNA from 1 species
UCCCUGGCAGUCCAGUGUAGAAGACCCUGCUCUUCCAAUGCAGGGGCUGCAGGUUCGAUUCCUGGUUAGGGAA